UCCGCCGUAGUCUAGCUGGUUAGGAUACUUGGCUCUCACCCAAGAGACCCGGGUUCGAGUCCCGGCGGCGGAA
rnacentral:tRNA from 1 species